AAUCAACGCUGGCGGCGCGCUUAACACAUGCAAGUCGAGCGAGAAAGGGGAGCAAUCCCUGAGUAAAGCGGCGCACGGGUGAGUAACACGUGGGGAAUCUACCUCUGGGUGGGGAAUAACUCUGGGAAACCGGAGCUAAUACCGCAUAAGCCUGGGAAGGGAAAGUCGAAAGACGCCGGGAGAGGACCCCGCGGCCGAUUAGCUAGUUGGUGAGGUAACGGCUCACCAAGGCAAAGAUCGGUAGCCGGCCUGAGAGGGCACACGGCCACACUGGCACUGAAACACGGGCCAGACUCCUACGGGAGGCAGCAGUGGGGAAUCUUGCACAAUGGGGGCAACCCUGAUGCAGCGACGCCGCGUGAGCGAUGAAGCCCUUCGGGCGU
rnacentral:rRNA from 1 species